UACGUAGGGUGCAAGCGUUACUCGGAAUUACUGGGCGUAAAGCGUGCGCAGGCGGUUGUGCAAGACAGAUGUGAAAUCCCCGGGCUUAACCUGGGAACUGCACUUGUGACUGCACGGCUAGAGUGUGUCAGAGGGGGGUAGAAUUCCACGUGUAGCAGUGAAAUGCGUAGAUAUGUGGAGGAAUACCGAUGGCGAAGGCAGCCCCCUGGGAUAACACUGACGCUCAUGCACGAAAGCGUGGGGAGCAAACAGG
rnacentral:rRNA from 1 species